UAAUACUCUAUAGACCCUCUCUCUCUCUCCCUUUUCUAGGAGUUUCCUCGUCGUUGGUGCUGCAAUUUCGUGGGUCCCCAGAUUUCGUCGCCACCCACUGCCUGAGCAACGCCGGGUUGCCGUUACUCACCACUGUCGCAGCUUCGAGGGUCUGUCAUCGACGAGUCCUAUCCCCGACCUCAACGCCGAGCAUCCCCACCUCUUCCCCGUCGUGCAUCACCUCUGGUCGAGCCGUCGGCGAUCACCCCCUCACCACGCAGGGUAGUAAUCUUGUCCUAGGCAGCGUUGUUUACUCACAAAACCAGUCGAUCACCACUCCGAUAUUGUGAAAGGUAAAGAAGGAUCAUCAUGGUGGGAUUCAAAAACAGGUACCUGAUAAUGGAACUUUUUUUGGAUCCUAAUAGAGGUCUUGUUGGGGAUGAUCCCAUUAUCAUAACCCAAUUCAAUGUCUCAAAAGCAAUCAAAGACAGCAUUCUUGUAAAUUUUGGAGAGUGUGGUCUUGCUUCAACGCUUGGAUCCUUCCAAGUAAAGUAUGUGAAUCCUAUCACAAAGCUAUGCAUCAUUAGGGCCUCGAGGGAGGAGUACCAAAAGGUUUGGUCUGCAAUUACCAUGGUUAGGAGCAUUGGAAAUUGUCCGGUACUAUUAAAUUUAUUAGACCUAAGUGGGAGUAUAAAGGCUUGUAGAAGUGCAGCCUUGAAGUGUGAUGAACUAAAAUUUGAGCAGUACAAACUUGUCGUUGGGGCUCGUCUCUCAGCUGAUGCUAUGAAUCAGAUGCAAAACUAUCUCGAAAAGAUAAAAAUUUUGGAGCACUGAAGUACUGUAUCUGUACCAACCUCCAGCAAAGUCAUGGUGGUUUACUCUUGAUUUUAAGAUGGUUAUCUUUAUUCCUAUACCUGUAUCAUACAGUCGGUUUUACCCCAAAACCGCGCCGAUACAGUCGGUUUUCACCCCUACCUAUAGCUUGCUGCUGGCUUCCUCGACUGGUUUUCAAAGCGAUCCUACAGGUCAUUGGCAAGUCUUCUUUUUGGUAAAUUUUUUGCAAUUGAUGAAUCCCUUCAUCUUGUGAAGCAUCUUGAAGGAUUUGAGAGCUUAUGCAGAGAAAGUUUAUUAGAUGUCCCUUUUUUUUUUCCAAUUUUUUUAGUAAAAUUUAAAACCUACUUUUGUUGUUAAAAUUUUGUUGAUAUUUUCAUCUGGAGAGACAGGUUAUAUCAACUAAUUAAAUAGAUAGAAAUGAGUGGAUGAGGGACUCCAACUAACACUUCAAAAGAAAAAAAAAAAAAAAAUCAUUACGGCCUAGAAAAGAAAACAAUUUACUUAAUGAAUCUAACAAGUUGGUCCAGUCCCAUCGAUUCUUGGCCAAAAUAGGAAGAUGUACAUGGCUUCAAUUGCGUUGAGACGGUUGCCCAAAGAUCUUCACUACAAUGGUGGAUAAGGGAGCUUGAUCAGUUCCCAUAAAAAAGAGAAGAUAAGCCCCCCUUCCAUUAGAAUUAGGAAUUAGAUCUGCUUCUUGAAUGAUGGAUGAAGGGAAUUGGGUUGACGAUGUGUGAGACUCUGUCUGCAUUUGGAGGUAAUCCUUGGUGGGUUGACGCAGAAAAAAGAGAAGGGAAGGAAAUAAUAAGAGAGAGGUAGGGAGGGAGUUUAGGGGGUGCACAAGGAAUACUAUUUUCUUGAAGAGUUCAGGGGGAGAAACUAUCA